rnacentral:tRNA from 1 species
GGGCCGUUAGCUCAGUUGGCAGAGCAGUAGCCUUUUAAGCUAUUGGUCGGAGGUUCGAAUCCUCCACGGCUCACCA